rnacentral:rRNA from 1 species
AUUGAACGCUGGCGGCAUGCCUUACACAUGCAAGUCGAACGGUAACAGGUCUUCGGAUGCUGACGAGUGGCGAACGGGUGAGUAAUACAUCGGAACGUGCCUAGUAGUGGGGGAUAACUACUCGAAAGAGUGGCUAAUACCGCAUGAGAUCUACGGAUGAAAGCAGGGGAUCGCAAGACCUUGUGCUACUAGAGCGGCCGGUGGCAGAUUAGGUAGUUGGUGGGAUAAAAGCUUACCAAGCCGACGAUCUGUAGCUGGUCUGAGAGGACGAUCAGCCACACUGGGACUGAGACACGGCCCAGACCCCUACGGGAGGCAGCAGUGGGGAAUUUUGGACAAUGGGCGCAAGCCUGAUCCAGCAAUGCCGCGUGCAGGAUGAAGGCCUUCGGGUUGUAAACGGCUUUUGUACGGAACGAAAAGCCCUGGGUUAAUACCCUAGGGUCAUGACGGUACCGUAAGAAUAAGCACCGGCUAACUACGUGCCAGCCGCCGCAGUAAUAC